rnacentral:rRNA from 1 species
GACGAACGCUGGCGGCGUGCUUAACACAUGCAAGUCGAACGGUGAACCUCUUCGGAGGGGAUCAGUGGCGAACGGGUGAGUAACACGUGGGCAACCUGCCCCCGGCUCUGGGAUAACUCCAAGAAAUUGGGGCUAAUACCGGAUGUUCACCGCUUCCCGCAUGGGUGGUGGUGCAAAGGGUUUCCGGCUGGGGAUGGGCCCGCGGCCUAGCAGCUUGUUGGUGGGGUAGUGGCCUACGAAGGCGACGACGGGUAGCCGACCUGAGAGGGUGACCGGCCACACUGGGACUGAGACACGGCCCAGACUCCAACGGGAGGCAGCAGUGGGGAAUAUUGCGCAAUGGGCGGAAGCCGGACGCAGCGACGCCGCGUGGGGGAAGACGGCCUUCGGGUUAUAAACCUCUUUCAGCAGGGACGAAGCGCAAGUGACGGUACCUGAAGAAGAAGCACCGGCCAACUACGUG